UAGAUCCUACGGGAGGCAGCAGUGGGGAAUAUUGCGCAAUGGGCGAAAGCCUGAUGCAGCGACGCCGCGUGGGUGAAGGAGCGUUUCGGCGCGUAAAGCCCUAUCGGCAGGGAAGAAGAUGACGGUACCUGACCAAGAAGCCCCGGCUAACUACGUGCCAGCAGCCGCGGUAAUACGUAGGGGGCAAGCGUUAUCCGGAUUUACUGGGUGCAAAGGGGGCGCAGACGGCAAUGCAAGCCAGGAGUGAAAGCCCGGGGCCCAACCCCGGGACUGCUCUUGGAACCGCAUGGCUGGCGCACCGGAGG
rnacentral:rRNA from 1 species